AGAACUUAUUCUAAAUUAAAGCUCCAGGGGCCUCAUGCACAAAGGUUGCGUACGCACAAAAACGCGGCGUACGCCCUUUUCCAUGCUCAUGUUCAGAUGUACAGAGUGACAUGACUGUGGAAAUGUGCGGUGCUCCCCGCCAACUUCAUAGCUGGUGUACGCACAUUUCUAGCGCUUUGGAACCAUUGGCGACACUUAGAGAUGACACUGGGAA